UCAGCCCUCAAGCCCCGUGCUUGGUGUUGGACGACUUGGUCGAGUUUGCUCCCGACCCGUCCCAAAGACAAUGACGGCGGUUGAUGGUCCCCCCGGCACACUGAGCUUUUUUAGGCACGUGUUGGAUAAGGGUGCCUCAGCCCCGGUCUCCUCCUUCAAUGGAAAUUUUCAA
rnacentral:misc_RNA from 1 species